rnacentral:lncRNA from 1 species
UAUAAUAUAAUAUAUAAAUAUAUUCCCCCAGUUUUCCAGUUGGGGCCACUAUUACUCCAGUUUCAUACUAUAGCUGUUUUUAAACUGAUGUCCAAGGAAUAUUUCAGCCUUAAAUCUCCACACACCAUAGUAUUUCAUUUAAUUGACCUGUUGUAAAAAUAUAUAGUUACCCAAAAUACCUGCUUUGAGGAGUCUGUUUACCGCUGUUUAUAUACAUUCUUGCCCUCCCCGUGAACAAGUGCGUGGGCGGGGUUUGGCAACAGCUCGACUAAUCAUCUUCCACAAGGGGCGGAGCUACAGGCCGGCUUCAUGUGAGCCGAACAAACGGCAGUAUUUGGAUUGAGUGAGUGGAGGGUGAAGGUACCAGCUCUCCUGUGAACUGUCUUCUGUGGAAUAUGAUCAUACCCCUGGCUUUGUAUUUUAAAGGGAUGCAACUGAUGCUCUUCCACACAAUAUGGGACUUUCUUUUACUCUAAAUGCCGAAGAGACUGCAAAUCAAACUAUAUAAAAUGAUCAUGUUUGUAUCGAACAAGUGCAAUGGUAAACUCAAUAGCUUCUUUGAGAUUUCAUGCAAAUACCUUGGUAUAUGAACAUGAAAUCAUUCAUUGUAUUUAUUCAUUGUCAAAAUAAUAAAUCAUUGUACUUUUUGUAAUAAAGGAAACGGCAUGUACUGCUUCA